rnacentral:rRNA from 1 species
AGUGAACGCUGGCGGUAGGCCUAACACAUGCAAGUCGAACGGCAGCACAGUAAGAGCUUGCUCUUACGGGUGGCGAGUGGCGGACGGGUGAGGAAUACAUCGGAAUCUACUUUUUCGUGGGGGAUAGCGUAGGGAAACUUACGCUAAUACCGCAUACGACCUACGGGUGAAAGCAGGGGAUCUUCGGACCUUGCGCGAUUGAAUGAGCCGAUGUCGGAUUAGCUAGUUGGCGGGGUAAAGGCCCACCAAGGCGACGAUCCGUAGCUGGUCUGAGAGGAUGAUCAGCCACACUGGAACUGAGACACGGUCCAGACUCCUACGGGAGGCAGCAGUGGGGAAUAUUGGACAAUGGGCGCAAGCCUGAUCCAGCCAUACCGCGUGGGUGAAGAAGGCCUUCGGGUUGUAAAGCCCUUUUGUUGGGAAAGAAAAGCAGCAGGUUAAUACCCCGCUGUUCUGACGGUACCCAAAGAAUAAGCACCGGCUAACCUCGUG